rnacentral:rRNA from 1 species
GACGAACGCUGGCGGCGUGCUUAACACAUGCAAGUCGAACGAAGUGGCACACGGGUGAGUAACGCGUAAUCAACCUGCCCUUCAGGGGGGGACAACAGUUGGAAACGACUGCUAAUACCGCAUACUGAGGGGGGGUAUUGCGUCGGAUUAGCUAGUUGGAGGGGUAACGGCCCACCAAGGCGAUGAUCAGUAGCCGGUCUGAGAGGGUGAACGGCCACACUGGGACUGAGACACGGCCCAGACUCCUACGGGAGGCAGCAGUGGGGAAUCUUCGGCAAUGGACGGAAGUCUGACGAAGCAACGCCGCGUGAGUGAAGAAGGCCUUCGGGUUGUAAAGCUCUGUUAAUCGGGACGCGGUACCUGAAUAGAAAGCCACGGCUAACUACGUGCCAGCCGCCGCGGUAAUUC